ACGCGUAGGUAACCUGCCUUGUAGCGGGGGAUAACUAUUGGAAACGAUAGCUAAUACCGCAUAACAAUGGAUGACACAUGUCAUUUAUUUGAAAGGGGCAAUUGCUCCACUACAAGAUGGACCUGCGUUGUAUUAGCUAGUAGGUGAGGUAAUGGCUCACCUAGGCGACGAUACAUAGCCGACCUGAGAGGGUGAUCGGCCACACUGGGACUGAGACACGGCCCAGACUCCUACGGGAGGCAGCAGUAGGGAAUCUUCGGCAAUGGGGGCAACCCUGACCGAGCAACGCCGCGUGAGUGAAGAAGGUUUUCGGAUCGUAAAGCUCUGUUGUAAGUCAAGAACGGGUGUGAGAGUGGAAAGUUCACACUGUGACGGUAGCUUACCAGAAAGGGACGGCUAACUACGUGCCAGCAGCCGCGGUAAUACGUAGGUCCCGAGCGUUGUCCGGAUUUAUUGGGCGUAAAGCGAGCGCAGGCGGUUUGAUAAGUCUGAAGUUAAAGGCUGUGGCUCAACCAUAGUUCGCUUUGGAAACUGUCAAACUUGAGUGCAGAAGGGGAGAGUGGAAUUCCAUGUGUAGCGGUGAAAUGCGUAGAUAUAUGGAGGAACACCGGUGGCGAAAGCGGCUCUCUGGUCUGUAACUGACGCUGAGGCUCGAAAGCGUGGGGAGCGAACAGGAUUAGAUACCCUGGUAGUCCACGCCGUAAACGAUGAGUGCUAGGUGUUGGAUCCUUUCCGGGAUUCAGUGCCGCAGCUAACGCAUUAAGCACUCCGCCUGGGGAGUACGACCGCAAGGUUGAAACUCAAAGGAAUUGACGGGGGCCCGCACAAGCGGUGGAGCAUGUGGUUUAAUUCGAAGCAACGCGAAGAACCUUACCAGGUCUUGACAUCCCGAUGCUAUUUCUAGAGAUAGAAAGUUACUUCGGUACAUCGGUGACAGGUGGUGCAUGGUUGUCGUCAGCUCGUGUCGUGAGAUGUUGGGUUAAGUCCCGCAACGAGCGCAACCCCUAUUGUUAGUUGCCAUCAUUCAGUUGGGCACUCUAGCGAGACUGCCGGUAAUAAACCGGAGGAAGGUGGGGAUGACGUCAAAUCAUCAUGCCCCUUAUGACCUGGGCUACACACGUGCUACAAUGGUUGGUACAACGAGUUGCGAGUCGGUGACGGCGAGCUAAUCUCUUAAAGCCAAUCUCAGUUCGGAUUGUAGGCUGCAACUCGCCUACAUGAAGUCGGAAUCGCUAGUAAUCGCGGAUCAGCACGCCGCGGUGAAUACGUUCCCGGGCCUUGUACACACCGCCCGUCACACCACGAGAGUUUGUAACACCCGAAGUCGGUGAGGUAACCUUUUGGAGCCAGCCGCCUAAGGUGACAGA
rnacentral:rRNA from 1 species